rnacentral:rRNA from 1 species
GUGCCAGCAGCCGCGGUAAUACGUAGGGGGCGAGCGUUGUCCGGAAUUACUGGGUGUAAAGGGCGUGUAGGCGGGGGUACAAGUUACCGGUAAAAACCCGAGGCUUAACUUCGGGCUUGCCGAUAAAACUGUAUCUCUUGAGUGUAGGAGAGGGAAUCGGAAUUCCCGGAGUAGCGGUGAAAUGCGUAGAUACCGGGAGGAACACCAGUGGCGAAGGCGGAUUCCUGGCCUACAACUGACGCUGAGGCGCGAAAGCUGGGGUAGCAAACGGGAUUAGAUACCCCGGUAGUCCCAGCUGUAAACGAUGGUCACUAGGUGUGGGUGGUGGUCAAGCCAUCCGUGCCGGAGUUAACGCAAUAAGUGACCCACCUGGGGAGUACGACCGCAAGGUUGAAACUCAAAGGAAUUGACGG